ensembl:lncRNA
GUACUUGUGCAGUUUUGUAAGGACUACUGUGGAAAAUCUGCUCCUUCCCGGAAGGAGAUCGCGGCAGUUUUGUCGCUGUUAAAUGAGCUGGGGGAGCUGGACUCUCCCCGCUACGUUUUGGAUUCGAGUAGGUGGGACUUGCUCACCUCGGUGCUAUGCCAGCGCGCCAUGGCCAGUCAGAAGGCUACGGAACUUAAAACGUGGGGACUGAUAUUAGGAGCCCUUAAAGCGGCCAGAGUUGAGGGAAAGGUAUUGGUGGAGGCUCGAUACCUUUUGGGUCUCAGCGGAGGAGGUGAGACACAGGACCCGGUCGGGUCCGAUGGGGGUUCGGGAGCAGUUUCUUGCAGGGGCCGAGAGGAGACGGAGCCGCCAAUGACCGUUGGCGGGAUGGCGCCGGCUGAGCCGACCGCGCUCACUUCAAAAGAAGACAAACAACAAGAGAGUGAAAGUUCGUUGUCUCGUCCCCCUCUCCCGUAUCUGAACCCCUCAGGCGGAACGUUGUAUCCUUUAUCAGAAUUACGUCAGUGUUACCUGACUCAAGGGGGCGGAGGAAGCUGUGAUCUACACGGGCAGGAUCAACUUAGUGCCCACAUGGGGAGGGACCAGACAAAAGGUCCGUCCAAUGCGGACAGGGGGCAUAGCCUACUGUCUCUGGUCACUCCCAGGGGCGGUAGUGCGAGUGAUAGUGUAGAAGAGAAAGAAGGGACUGGCUUUGAGUGCAGGGGGAGGGAUCAAAUGACGGACUGGAAUGGGAUUAGAUCGGAGGCUUUGGGAAAGGACCGAAGCCAACUCCAGAACAACUGAGGGACAGACGAUGGGAUCAAGAACCACUCGUCAAGAGGAGCACUACACCUGCAACGCUGACACUUCCAAUGUUGCUGAUAUUUAUGGUGUCCAUGGCGAUUACAGAGUGUCACAAACAACUACAAUGGACACAAGAACAUAUGCAGAAAAUUAAAGAAGAGCGUGAUCCCUUUGGAAGCUGGCUGGACGGACUGUUUGGGGGAACGGGUUCAUGGUUAAAGCAAUUGCUUAAAGCUCUCGCAGUAGGAUUUGCAAUCUUUGUGUGUAUUCUAAUCUGUCUUCCAUGCUUUGUAGGAUGCUUGCCUUCAACGAAUGAUGGACAAGACUUUUGACUAUCACAUUGAGUAUCAUAGAUUGCGUGAAAAAUUAUAGAGGGGUUUAGGUUGUUGCGUUCGUGCUGUAACGGGGCAAGGCUUGGCCGAGCACGGAAAAGAAUUCCCUGUUGCUCUGAUGAUUGCUUAAGAACUGUAGUAGAAAAUAGUAGGAAUAGUGUGCUGAAAUAUAUUUAGGAUUAGGCGUUUUGCGCUGCUUCGCGAUGUACGGGUUAGGUGUGUGUGUAAGUAGUAUUUAGCUUAGGGAGGGGGAGAUGUUGUAGUAGGCGUCUUGCGGGGGCACGGGAUGUACGGGACAGGCCUCUCCCUAAACAUAGAGAGAUAGUGCUAUCGUGCUGACCUUGUUGCAGAGAAAACAGGAGAAGAAGAAGGAUGAUAAAAGAAUGUGGAAAUGGCCAAAUAAGGCACAAUGUUAUCUGGUGUGAACUAAUCAGAGUGGGACAUGACAGCACGGUUAUCUAGGUAAAAAUGUAUAUAAGCU